UACGGAGGGGGCUAGCGUUGUUCGGAAUUACUGGGCGUAAAGGGCGCGUAGGCGGGAUGGCAAGUCGGUCGUGAAAUCCCUCGGCUCAACCGAGGAACGUCGAUCGAUACUGCUGUUCUUGAGGAUUGCAGAGGAGACUGGAAUUCCCGGUGUAGCGGUGAAAUGUGUAGAGAUCGGGAGGAACACCGGUGGCGAAGGCGGGUCUCUGGGCAAUUCCUGACGCUGAGGCGCGAAAGCGUGGGGAGCAAACGGG
rnacentral:rRNA from 1 species